AGCGGCGGACGGGUGAGUAAUGCUUAGGAAUCUGCCUAUUAGUGGGGGACAACAUUCCGAAAGGGAUGCUAAUACCGCAUACGUCCUACGGGAGAAAGCAGGGGCUCUUUAUGACCUUGCGCUAAUAGAUGAGCCUAAGUCGGAUUAGCUAGUUGGUGGGGUAAAGGCCUACCAAGGCGACGAUCUGUAGCGGGUCUGAGAGGAUGAUCCGCCACACUGGGACUGAGACACGGCCCAGACUCCUACGGGAGGCAGCAGUGGGGAAUAUUGGACAAUGGGGGGAACCCUGAUCCAGCCAUGCCGCGUGUGUGAAGAAGGCCUUUUGGUUGUAAAGCACUUUAAGUGGGGAGGAGGCUUACCUGGUUAAUACCUGGGCUAAGUGGACGUUACCCACAGAAUAAGCACCGGCUAACUCUGUGCCAGCAGCCGCGGUAAUACAGAGGGUGCGAGCGUUAAUCGGAUUUACUGGGCGUAAAGCGCGCGUAGGUGGUUAAUUAAGUCAAAUGUGAAAUCCCCGAGCUUAACUUGGGAAUUGCAUUCGAUACUGGUUAGCUAGAGUAUGGGAGAGGAUGGUAGAAUUCCAGGUGUAGCGGUGAAAUGCGUAGAGAUCUGGAGGAAUACCGAUGGCGAAGGCAGCCAUCUGGCCUAAUACUGACACUGAGGUGCGAAAGCAUGGGGAGCAAACAGGAUUAGAUACCCUGGUAGUCCAUGCCGUAAACGAUGUCUACUAGCCGUUGGGGGAUUUGAUCCUUUAGUGGCGCAGCUAACGCGAUAAGUAGACCGCCUGGGGAGUACGGUCGCAAGACUAAAACUCAAAUGAAUUGACGGGGGCCCGCACAAGCGGUGGAGCAUGUGGUUUAAUUCGAUGCAACGCGAAGAACCUUACCUGGCCUUGACAUAGUAGAGACUUUCCAGAGAUGGAUUGGUGCCUUCGGGAAUCUACAUACAGGUGCUGCAUGGCUGUCGUCAGCUCGUGUCGUGAGAUGUUGGGUUAAGUCCCGCAACGAGCGCAACCCUUUUCCUUACUUGCCAGCAUUUCGGAUGGGAACUUUAAGGAUACUGCCAGUGACAAACUGGAGGAAGGCGGGGACGACGUCAAGUCAUCAUGGCCCUUACGGCCAGGGCUACACACGUGCUACAAUGGUCGGUACAAAGGGUUGCUACACAGCGAUGUGAUGCUAAUCUCAAAAAGCCGAUCGUAGUCCGGAUCGCAGUCUGCAACUCGACUGCGUGAAG
rnacentral:rRNA from 1 species